UUUCAUUCGAGCUGCUAAUAUUAAUAUCUAAUAUAACACACUCCACACUGCUCAUUUAAUACACUAUAACACCAUUCACGCUUAUACCAACUCACAAAAUUUAAAAUUAAAAUUUAUCACACACAUUGAUAACAUUUUCAUCGCUUAUCGUUCAUCGUCAUCGCUUAUCGUUCAUCGUCAUCAUAACAUCACCAGAAACUACUGCACGCUAUUUACAUAGCUGUCCAUUUAAUUUUGUUUUUCUUGAAAUUUAGUUUCAUACAUUGGCGGUGGCGUUAACCCGUUCCAACGGGGCGGCCAAAUAAUUCUUCCCUCUUCACGGAAGUAACUUAAUAUAUAAAAAAACUAAAAUAUACGUUCAAAUUGGUAUAGAUUUCGACAAAUAUUGGUGUUGGCGGCGCAUCGAUAUGGAGAAGACUUUGAAAAAGCAGAACAGCAAUGUUGCCUGUCAAGAGGAAGAAGGAACGUUCCCAAAAAAGCGCAAGAAAUAUGGGCUUUCUUCUCUAUGGAACUAUUUUGACUACCAAGUGCAUAAUAUGUGGUAAAACCUACCAAACAAGUGGCAAUACGACAAACUUGUCUUGCCACUUAAACGAGGUCUACGUUACUGUGACGUGACUCGAAUUGCGCAACGCUGUUUUGUCCACUGAAAAGGUCCUCGACGAAACGAGCCAUUCUUCUGAAAAUAUUGCAAACUCUUUACUCUACACAGUACUCGAGGAAUGGAGAGUUUUAGGAAAGGUCACUGCAAUGUUCACAGAUAACGCCAAAAAUAUGAUAAAAGCAUGUGAAAUACUGCAAAUAAGACAUAUUCCAUGCUGUGCGCAUUCAAUCAAUUUGACUGUCCAGGACUGUUUGGCUACAUUGUUUCGCUUUUUAAAAGUAGCACAAUUGCAUGUGCCACGUUUAAAGAGGCUCAGGAAUGCGAACGUCCUUAUAGUUUAAAGCAAGAAUGUCCUACAAGAUGGAACACCGGCUAUCAUAUGUUGGACAGAAUUUUGAUCACAAAGAUUGCCAUCGCAAGUGUGCUACUAAACACGCCCAAAGGGCUAAUGCCGCCAACAUCUGAAGAAAUAUCCAUUCUGGAGGAUUUAAAGGCAAUACUUUCACCUUUUCAGCAUGCAACGGUACACACAUCUUCGAGUACUUCUGUGACAGUGUCUUCAGUGAUUCCGGUUGUUUGUGGUAUUUUACACAAUCUGACAGGCAUGAAAACUAAACUCCAGACUAAGGUGGGCCAAGAUGUCUGUGAUGACAUACUUCAAGGGGUCAAUAAAAGAUAAUAAUUCCUCCCAAGGGGUUAAAUCGUUGGGUGAUGAACCGUCGCUCAUCAAUGCUCCAACAAAAUCUUCUGCAUUUUCAAGCCCGCCAACACCAGAAUCCACAGCAGAGUCCAACCUAUUAUUCAGUUUUUUACAAACUAAUCAAACUCAAAAAAUUCAAAGCGGUCGCGUGGAUUAUAUAUUGGCUUUGCGACAAUACUUGAAUGCGAGUAAUUUGGACCCUGCCCAAAACCCUUUGGAUUAUUGGAAGAUAUCAAAUGACGCCGGAUUCAAAACAUGAAAGUGAGAGGAUGUUCAGUAAAGCUGGACUAGUCGUUAGCGAGAAGGGAAGCUCUCUAAAACCAAUGAAUGUCAAUAUGAUUUUAUUUCUAAACAAAAAUGAUUGGAUAAUUCAGUUUUAGUUAUGUUACUUUUUCCUUAUUUUUUUGAGAAGAACUUUAUACUGUUAUUUAUUUUAUUUUUAAUUGAAUUGUGAUAUAAUUUUAAUUUUUGUGUUGAACGAGUAGUUUAAGUUUCACUUUGAAUUUGCAGGAAACAAAAAUUGAAAACAAUGGAUCUCAA